AGCUCCAGUAGCGUAUAUUAAAGUUGUUGCAGUUAAAAAGCUCGUAGUUGGAUUUCUGGUACGCUGCGCGUGGCCCGCCUUUCUAGGUGAGUGUUGCUGCGCGGUUGCCAUCCUUCUAGAGAACACGUCUACCCUUCAUUGGGCCGGAUGUGGAAUCUAGAUCAUUUACUUUGAAAAAAUUAGAGUGUUUAAAGCAGGCUUUUGCUAUGAAUACAUUAGCAUGGAAUAAUAAUAUAGGACUUUGGUUCUAUUUUGUUGGUUUCUAGGACUAAAGUAAUGAUUGAUAGGGAUAGUUGGGGGUGCUAGUAUUCAGCGGCCAGAGGUGAAAUUCUUGGAUUCGCUGAAGACUAACUUAUGCGAAAGCAUUCACCAAGGAUGUCUUCUUUAAUCAAGAACGAAA
rnacentral:rRNA from 1 species